rnacentral:lncRNA from 1 species
CUCAUUCAACUCUGCUACGCGACUUUCUCCAAAUUUCCAGACUAGGUCUUCCCCUUUCCUGGGUCUAACACCAUCUCCUGAAACCCCAGCACAAAUGAGAAAUCCAGGUGCUUCUUUGUGUCUGGGAGGGGAAAUCUGAGUGCAAGCAUGUGAAGCAUGAGAAAAGUGAAAGAGCUCUCACAUUUCAGAAGUAGGUGGAGGCAAAGGAACUCACUGGGGAAACAGAGAAGGACCUGCCAGAAAAGCAGAAAGGACUCCAAGAGAACCUAUGUCAAAGAAGCUAAGGCAGGAGAGAUUCAAGAAAGAAGGAGCGGUCAAGAAACAACUCCUCUGGAUUUCCUUUGCAGUUGGUUACAAAAAUAAGCACUAAAUUUCAGUUGAGAAAAGCUCCAGUGAUGUGGGACAUAGACAUCCCCAAUCUCUCUCGUGAGGAAGGGCCUCAGGAUUGUGGAAAGAUCAUGGAGGGAGUAAAAGGUCAGUGAUAUCUGCUUUGCACAUUGUAAGCUGUUUAAAAAGUUAUUUUACAUUCUGUUCACAGCUGUUUUGAUGAGGCUGUAGCUUAUAUUCUCUACAAAAAAAAAAAACUAAUUCAAAACUUUGUGCUUUGGUAAAACCAAUCCCCAGAACAGGUUGUCUUGCCUUACAGAUUGGAGAGAGACUGUGAGGGAGGGAUGGGGUAGGGCAGACAGCAGCAGCAGUUCUUUCAAGUGUGGAAUGGUCGUCUCAGCUACUUGUGGCCAUGUUUGUUUUAAGGGCAAUGGGACGAGAGUUACUGAGUAUCAGGCGUUGUUUGGGUGCUUCCCAUGCACAUCUUAUUGUGUAGGUGUCACCAUCGUCAUUUUACCCAGGAGGGAACUAACGAUCAGAGAGAUGAACUUGCUCAAGGCCACAUCGUGUAGGUUAUAAACAUUCACGACUCAUAAAGUCCCCAGUGCAGGAGGAUUUCUUAAGAAAAAGAUGAGGCAUACACUUGAUUUGGGAAACACAAUGCCUUUAUUAUAGUGUUAUUUUUGUUUCAGGGCCGAUAACCACAAUAUUCUUCCAGCGAGAUACUGAUGUUUUGUCUUUUUUUCCCCACUUGCCCCCGAAUGAGUCAGGGACUUUUAAAAGCUUAAAAAGGUAAUUGUAUAAACUGUCCUUAUAAAAGCACUCUGGGAUUAAGGAGGUUUGACUGUUCCAGCUUAUGUUAAAGAUGGAGAAUUAUAUUUUUAAGAUAAUUACAUGUUCCUUUUGAUAAAGCACAAACAUUCACAAACAGAGGCGUAGUUUCAGACUGGUCUGCUGGGCCGGCUGCUGGCUGCAAUUAGCUUGUGGUAAGGACUCUUCUACUCCCUAGGGAGAAGAGAGACCUGCAGAAUCUUGG